GACAGGGAGAACGAGACAAAUACAUAAAGAUGGAGAAAGUCUAGGAAGAAGAAGAAUAGUAUCAACCCAUAUUUCCUCCUCCAUUGAGAAGCCCACUCACUCACUCACUCACUCAGUACCCAUUUUAGCAACCUCUCUUGACCAGUCACCACUCUCAAUUGUUUGUCUCUUGCCUUCAAGCAACUCUAAUUUAUUUUGGCAUUGAACGUUUUUUUUAAUUAUUAUUAUAAAUUUCCUUCAUGCAUGUGCAAUUAUUGGUUGGAUUUGUAUGGAUAAUACUGCUAUAUAUUGGGUUUUGUAGUUGAUGGAUUAGCUCCUGAAUUAGAUUUAUUGUUUGGAAUUCUAGUUCUUUAGUGCAAACAAUAUGUCCUUUCAGCCACAUCUCUAUAUCCUUUCUAAGGUAAAAAGCCUAAAUAUAUUGUGUCUCCUAUUGUGGACUGUCUUGGGGCUUUUUAUUUUUAUUUUUAUUUUUUUAAUAUCAGUUUAAUUUAUUUCAUAAAAUGUAAUUAUUUGGAUAAUUAGGAAAUAAUAAUCACCCAUAUUGUUUGUUAUGUUGUAGUUUCUUCAAUAUUUGGAUGCAAUCAAAUUGGAGUAAUUUCAAGUUCUUAGGAAGUAAGAAAAUACCUUUGAAUAUUGGAUAUCAAAUAUUUAAUGAUUGCUAUGAAAGAUAUCUUUUUAGUGGUAGGUUUGGUUUAGAGAUUAUAAAAUCAGAAUUAACACUUUUUAUGACUAUGUUGUUAAACAAAUUUUAUAUUUGACAGUAUAAUGAGUUGUUGUGUAAUGACAAUAUAUCUAACAGAGGGAUUUUGUAUUUUAUACAGAGAUGAAAAAUUUUAGAGAUAGGGUUUGCAUCGGCUCUUAAUUCAAGCAACCACACUUCCUUUUUUGCUCAAAAAUUACAUUGGAUCAUUGAUUUUUAGUUUAUUUUAUUUGAUUAGUUGCCGGCAAAUUGAAUAUAGAGAAGAGAAAAUGUUUGAUAUUUGUAACUUAUUUGGGGCAUUUUUUUCGUGAUAUAAAGUUUCAUUGCUAUUAAGGUGUUGUCGUAUUGAUUCUCAAUCUAUGUACUUUGUUGCUGUUGCUUUAGGUUUUAAAGAAAACAUCCUAUGCUUUCCGAAUUCCAUAGUCCAGCUAAGCUUUUGGCUACAGGAAUGAAGCCAAAAUCUGGUGCUGAAUUGAGUGAGCAAGAUGCGGUAAGUCAGAGUUAGCAAUUCUUUAUUUCCCCCUUUGUUGUGUUUUGUGCAAGGAGUUUUGCACCCAAAAAAAGGUGAUGGCUUGAAUGAAUAAUACAAGUUAAGGUUUAUAUUAUAAUUGAUGCUCAUCUUGUGGGACAGUAAUGAUAUUUCCUAUCCUUUUAUUAGACGAGCAUCCUUGGGAUGCUCUUGAUGUUUUUGUGAGUCAUUUGUUUGUGUUUGGAUUUAAUUUAAGUUUCUGGGUUAUGGUCAAGCUUGGUUUUAUGUUUAGUUUAAUUAUUAUUUCAUCUCAAGUUUACUAUUGUUUUUAUGACUUCUUUAUCUAAUUUUUAUGGGUAUGUAGAAUAGUAUUGUGAAAAAUACAUGCAUACACACAUGAAUUGAUAUUAAAUCUCUUUUUUAGAUGAAAGAAUGUUUAUUAACCAAUAAAAUCCAGACAGGGUCAAAUUUUGCUAUCAAAAUCCAAAAAUAAGGAAGAAAAAUAUCAUCUUGAAAUUACUCAUUUAAGACUAACUACAAGUAGAUUUGUUUCAAUGAAGGUUUAAUCCAUCAAAUGCUGAAUUUACUUUGAAAUUGCCAUAUAACCUACCUAUAAUAUCAUUCAUGUAAUAUGAAGCAAAGUUCUCUGAAUCAUGUACCUUAAAAUCACUUUAGAAUUUGCAUAAUAUCAUGAAAAUUGGAGGAAAAUAACGAAGCUAGAGUCUACUACAUAAUCCAAUUCUCCCUACUUUAUUAGUUCCAUGUUACAAUUCAAAUCCAAAAUAACUUGAAAAUAUUUAGAAGCCUAUAAUUGAACCUAUUGAACUCAAAUAAUACCAUAUUCUCUCUGAUUCAUCAAUUUAGAACCAAAAAAGAAAAAGAAAAAAAAAUAAUGGAUUUGUCACAAUUUGAGCUAUUUUAUGUUUUAGAGACUAUAUAUGUCUUUACUUCGAACAUAGUGAAAUAAUGGAUUUGAUAAACAAUUCAAUAAGGUGAUUUGCAUUAUGAUGGAAAUGUGAAAUUCUAUGUUAAGUAUAACUUUUCUUAUGUUCUUUAUAUUUUCCCUACUUACAUGUAUUGUGGUUUGCUUCCAACAAUUUUAUUUUCUGAUUGUAAAUCAUUAGAAAGCAGAAUAAAUGUGUUUCAUUUAUUUUCUCUUUUGUGUAUUUUAUUCACAUAUUUCAAUUAGGUAGUCAAAAGUAAUUUGCCUGGUAAAAAGUAUUGUUCUUUAGUGCCAAAUGUUUGUUUGAAUUGGAAGCCUUAAGGAACAAUUUUCAUGAACAAGGAACUCUCAUUUGUUUGGUAUAUUUUAUGUUCAGCUGGCCUUUGGUGUUACUAUCAGUUACAUAUGGCUUGGUCUUAAUGAAAGAUUAUUUCAAGGCAAAGUAAGUGGGGUUUCUGUACUGCUAUUUAUCUCUGAGUUGAGGACUUCUUUCAUUGUAAUUUUGGAUGGUUCUUGCUUCAUGUUGAACGAAAUUUCUUGAAUUUAAUGCAAACCUUGAUGGGUAUUGCUUAAUGAAAAGUUAUUUGUCUCAUAUAUGUGGUCAACUGCAACUACCACACGGCCAUUGCUUUUGCACAUGGAGGGGUAAGUCCAUCUGACUUCAAUUUUAUUUUAUUUUUUUGUCUAUCUUUUAUAGCAAGGUUAGCAAUCUGACACUGACCUAAAAAAAAAAAUUGAAAUAAAUAUGACUGUAGGCUUACUUUGUCUUAAAGAUUAUCCAUUUGUCUUUUUAAGAAAUUUCAAUGAGUAAUAUAAUAUUUUUUUAUAAAUCCAUUCCUAUUCAAGAAUUAUAGGAGCUUUAAAGAAACAAACAGAGUAUUUGCAAGUUAUUACUGUUACCUUUAUAUUUUAUUACUUUGGUAGUGUGCUUAGCAUUUUGUAUAUCAUUUUUUCAGGUAUCAUGGUGACAUUGCUUCUUUUUUUGCUAUUGUAACAUUGUCAUUUUGUAGAACGUUUAGAAGUCAACAUGAAUGAUUAUCGUUAGGUUCUGAAUCAAUAGUUCUGAAUUUGUUGAUGAAAGUUUUAUUUGAGUGCUUUCAAUUUGUCAAUGGAAUGUUUUUUAAGUAAAAAAAAAUUUAUAUAAAGUAUGAUAGUCUAUCAUCCUAAUAUGAUGCCACUCAAUUUAUUUGGUAGUUUAGACUUUAGAGCUCAUUCAUGAUAAAAGUCUUUCUAAUUAUGAUUGAGAUUAUGCUUCGACAAGUUUCCAAUUAUUUGAAGUAUGUAUAGUUUCACUCUCAAAGGUUCUUGCUUCAUCGUAUUCAACUCGACCUGUUUGUGUUUUGAAAUUAACUUGAACUCUUAUUAAAAGCUUGGUUUUGGAUCUACUUUAUGUGAAACACCAUAAAGAAGUAAACUUUGACUUUUUAGUUUUAAAUUGUAAUUUUUAACUUCUGUGGUCAAACUAAGGAGGGUGAAGGAAAAUUUUUCUAAAAAAAAGGAAAAAGGCUUAUGGAUUUUAUGAGAUGUAUACGUGUUGAUUGUGAUUUUUAUAUUGUAGAAUGAUGAAAAGAACUGAAAAGGAAAAAAGGACUUUGUUUAAGAUCCACUUGAAAAAGGGCAGAAGCCUAAAGGUUGCUUCUAAUGUUGCUGCACUUGGAUGAUUCAAAAGCUAUGUAGACAUGUGCUUAGGCAUUAUAUGUGAUGUUUUGUUUGGCAAAAUUUACAUUUUUGAGGUUCUUUAAUAAAUGAUUAUUAUUUUUUUU